ensembl:lncRNA
AAAUUAAGGCUCUUUUAUGGCCAGUGAAUGGAGGCAGUGAUUGUUCGUGCUAUGAACAACUCCACGCUGUGUAGCGUAGAUGCUGUGAGCUGUACAGCAGCCAGCCAGUCGCGGGAGAGCAGACCUUUUUCCAUGCCAGAGGGGAUCUGUGGGUGUUGAUUUAUUUUACUUCUUCGCUCUUGUUGUCAGAGGAUGCGAGUUCUGAAUCAGAGAGUCACAGACAAUUAGCGAUUCGCACUGGUCAUCAACACUCACCAGAGUUUAUUGCAAGAACUGCGGUGAUAUUUCAUCAUAGAUUUCCGGGCUUUUUGUUGGUUUAGGUUUAAUUUUGUUAUUCUUGUCAUGACUGCUGCCAAAGAUGCGAGUGCUGGUAGACAGGCAGGCCCGCUGCUCUCCGCAGCUUUCUGGUGUUGUUGUUGUUGCUUGUUUGAGCCUGUGCAUUUGCUAAGCCCAACUCUGCCGCCGGUUUAGCAACUAAUCGGAGCUCCCCGUGCUAUGUCGAACAGGGAGCAAUGGCAGCCUGGAGAGCAAUAGGUGUCGUAGCCUGAGCGCAACGAUGCUGCUCAAAGCUGUAAUAGAUGCUCUGCUUAUCGGAAGCCUGCACUGUUUGUCCUAGGAGAACUUUGUGAAGACAUGUUUAAAUGCAAACGUUGUAUUUAAACAUAUCAGAUUGCCUUUGAUUUCUCACUCGCGUAGCACCGGUUUCCUCACUGCUGGCAGCACAGGGAAGUGAAAUGAGUGAAAGAGGAUCUGGCACACGGACAGUUCAGCUGUAAAGCCUGAGUCAUAGGCUUGCAAUCAGAGAACAAACCAAGCAGAUAAGGAGCACAGUGAGUGCCCGCACAGCAGGCAGGGUCCGCUUGUACUUCAGCUGUGUGCAGAAGAGGUGCUGCUGUCCUCAUGCAUAGCAAGGCAGUAAGGAAGGAUGUGGGGUUCUGAAUUGGCAGCCUCAAGGAAGACAAAUUCCACAGCCCUGCAUAGAUAUUUUUACCACAUACAUGCAUGGUGGUCUGCUGUUGGGACUUUGAGAGGAUGUUCUAAGAGUAUCACUGUGACUGCUGUACUGGUGUGAAUGCUGAAAGGAGCAUUCACUGGCUACACUGAUAAUCCCAUUUUCUUUAAAAGGUUAAACAAAUCUUUAGAUUGAAAGUAUGUAUUUAGAGAAGUGAUAGAGACCCUUCAAGACUACUGUAGUUACCACUGUACAGGUGCACAGACAGGUGUCCUGUUGCCAUAUUUUGUUGAAAUUGCAGUUCCUCAUUGCAUUUAUAAUGGCACACUCUGAAAUUAACAUAGGUUUUCCCUCUCUGAACGUCCCUUACUCUCAGUGCUGAUUUUGCUUGCACCUACCAAAAUUACACUCCAAACCAUGAUCACAUCAGGAGGUAACCAAACCCUUUGAUGAGCCUGGCGCUGUCAAGAGCUGGUUAACCUCAGCAGCAUGUUCAAGGUGAGACAAGCACUGUAAAAAUUGAGUGAGCUACAUGACAGAACACAUGUAUAAGCCACAAGUGACCCGAGGUAAUUUCUGCUGCACAGAAAAAAUGCCACAAGUAGGAAGGAGUGGACAAUGAAGCCCAGGGAAUGCAGAAUGACACUGCAGAGCUACCUGACGCGAGGGUUUGAGACUUCAGCAGCAGUCACUCCUUAAAGUGAACUUCUCAGAACACAUUUUGAAAUGCAGCCCAUAUCCUGUCUAUAACCACAGCUGGACAAGCAAUCCUGGCUCUCAAGGACAUUUAAGUUUAAAGAAAAAGAAAAAAAGAAAAAGAAAAAAAAAAGAUUUUAAAGUGUUUAAGCUAAAAUACAAGCCCUGCUUUGUACUUUAAAUAUAUACUGAGUUCUCUAAAAGGCUGGGUUUUGUGCUUGUAGGAAGAUUUCCUCACAUUUAAAGAGUUUUUAACUAGAAACAGGAAAUUUGAGUUCCAAAGGAGACAUUUUCUGAAAGCUUUGAACAUAUGGAAAACAAGGUUAUAAUGGGACUUCUCUGUUGCUUAAUCAUAGCCUGUAGUUCUUUGAAUACUCCGAAUAUAGAGAUACGUGCACUCAAGAUAAUAAGACUAUUAAUCUUUCUGUUAACCGGUUGAACUGAUUAACGAAGUAAUAUAUUUCGCAGUACAAUAUCCAUUAAUGCAAGCAAGUGGCAGAGCAGGACAGCACUCAGCUCUUGAGGAGAGGAAGUGGAGAAAGUCAGAGGAGGAUGUGACUGCCAACAGCAGGAGGUCAGUCUCAGCCAAGAACAGCCCUGGCAGAUUGGGAUGAGCAAAUGCAAGCUUUGUUAAAAAGAGUGGUACUGGUUGCUAAUGCAAAAACAAAGCACAGCAGAUCCCAUCUCUUUCUAUGUCUUCCCAGUCCCCUCACCAUCAUCUCAACCAUUAGCCCUCCCUGUUGUUCUUCUGCUUCUUAUGAGCCAAAGAACAAAAAAUAUGUUGGAAGCAGGAGGAGCUGAAGCAGCAGGAAGGUAUGUGAAGGUCACGGAGGAGCCUCCACGAGACUCUCCGGUGUGUGGAGGAAAGUAAUGUGUGAGUGUCUACAAAGAAGGUGACAGAAAGAUCUUACCGCCUAUAAAGAGAAGCACUACACAUAUUUCAGAAGAGUGUGUUUUACACAUAGGCUUGUAUUCAUGCUGGCUGAAAAAAAGGUUGAAGUGCAGGUUGGCAGAUGGAGGAAAAAACAAAAGUAGUGUUUUCCCAUUAUAAAGUUAUGUGUUAUUCUCUCC